rnacentral:rRNA from 1 species
GAUGAACGCUGGCGGCGUGCCUAAUACAUGCAAGUCGAGCGGUAAGGCCCCUUCGGGGGUACACGAGCGGCGGACGGCAGAGUAACACGUAGGAACGUACCCCAAAGUGAGGGAUAGCCCACCGAAAGGUGGAUUAAUACCGCAUGUGGUCUUCGGAUUAAAGCAGUAAUGCGCUUUGGGAACGGCCUGCGCAAGAUUAGCUUGUUGGUGAGGUAAUGGCUCACCAAGGCGACGAUCUUUAGCUGGUCUGAGAGGAUGAUCAGCCUGACUGGGACUGAGACACGGCCCAGACUCCUACGGGAGGCAGCAGUAGGGAAUUUUCCACAAUGGGCGAAAGCCUGAUGGAGCAACGCCGCGUGCAGGAUGAAGGCCUUCGGGUUGUAAACUGCUUUUGUCUGAGAAGAAUAUGACGGUAACAGACGAAUAAGGGUCUGCUAACUACGUGCCAGCAGCCGCGGUAA